rnacentral:lncRNA from 1 species
UGAUGUGCCAUCCUGGAUGAGCUGCACUACCUGAGCCACUUGUGUGGGUUGUAGACUCCGUCUCAUGCUACCACUAGAGUGAAAGCACCGCCAGCAUUCAAAAGUGACCAAAACAUCAGCCAGGAAGCAUAGGAACUGAGAAGUGGUCUGUGGUCACCACCUGCAGAACCACUUCUUUAUUGGGGGUGUCUUGCUUAUUGCUUAUAAUUUCCACCUGUUGUCUAUUCCAUUUGCACAACAGCAUGUGAAAUUUAUUGUCAAUCAGUGUUGCUUCCUAAGUGGACAGUUUGAUUUCACAGAAGUGUGAUUGACUUGGAGUUACAUUGUGUUGUUUAAGUGUUCCCUUUAUUUUUUUGAGCAGUAUAUUACAAUUUACACACACUCAACCUGGUAAAUAUCCAAACCUACACUAAGUGUACAAAACAUUAAGAACACCUGCUCUUUCCAUGACAUAGACUGAACAGGUCAAUCCAGUUUUUCACGCUCAACAGUUUUGUGUGUAUCAAAAAGCAUUGGAGUUAACAUUGACAAGCAUCAUUGUGGAACGCUUUCGACACUUUGCAGAGUCCAUGCCCCGACAAAUUGGGGGGGACGGGUGAAACACAAUACGGAAGGUGUUUUCACCGGAUUUGAGUUUCGCAUCCAGGACUGCGAAAGCAACUCUACCAUCGCAUCACCUGCUAUCAAAAAGGGCCAAUCAGUUCCUCUGCAGGCUCUCCAGUGUGGGAAGCAUCCUGGGCUCCUUGUGGGUGUUUGAUUCCUGGUCCACACCCAGAGAACCCCUGUGUAUCUGUGAGUCCACAGUCACCACAAUGAAGAAGGACCAUUAGGAUGGAGCCAUCUGCCUCCACUUCUCCCCUGCUGGGAUAGACAAGACUAUUCUUAUUUUCUGAGGGCUGUAUUGAAAUGUCCUCCAGGACUGUAAUACAAUUAUUAAAUCAUUUCUGCAAACAAAAAUUGUACACAAAGUGAAAACAAUCUAGUGGUAUCCCUCUGUGCAUCAGUCAGGCAGCAUACUGUGCUCUUUAUUUGAGUAGUUACUCUUGUUGGGGCAGACUUGGUUUGC